rnacentral:rRNA from 1 species
GGGUGAAUUAGUGGCGAACGGGUGAGUAACACGUGAGUAACCUGCCCUUAACUCUGGGAUAAGCCUGGGAAACUGGGUCUAAUACCGGAUAGGAGCGUCCACCGCAUGGUGGGUGUUGGAAAGAUUUAUCGGUUUUGGAUGGACUCGCGGCCUAUCAGCUUGUUGGUGAGGUAAUGGCUCACCAAGGCGACGACGGGUAGCCGGCCUGAGAGGGUGACCGGCCACACUGGGACUGAGACACGGCCCAGACUCCUACGGGAGGCAGCAGUGGGGAAUAUUGCACAAUGGGCGAAAGCCUGAUGCAGCGACGCCGCGUGAGGGAUGACGGCCUUCGGGUUGUAAACCUCUUUCAGUAGGGAAGAAGCGAAAGUGACGGUACCUGCAGAAGAAGCACCGGCUAACUACGUGCCAGCAGCCGCGGUAAUACGUAGGGUGCGAGCGUUAUCCGGGAAUUAUUGGGCGUAAAGAGCUCGUAGGCGGUUUGUCGCGUCUGUCGUGAAAGUCCGGGGCUUAACCCCGGAUCUGCGGUGGGUACGGGCAGACUAGAGUGCAGUAGGGGAGACUGGAAUUCCUGGUGUAGCGGUGGAAUGCGCAGAUAUCAGGAGGAACACCGAUGGCGAAGGCAGGUCUCUGGGCUGUAACUGACGCUGAGGAGCGAAAGCAUGGGGAGCGAACAGGAUUAGAUACCCUGGUAGUCCAUGCCGUAAACGUUGGGCACUAGGUGUGGGGACCAUUCCACGGUUUCCGCGCCGCAGCUAACGCAUUAAGUGCCCCGCCUGGGGAGUACGGCCGCAAGGCUAAAACUCAAAGGAAUUGACGGGGGCCCGCACAAGCGGCGGAGCAUGCGGAUUAAUUCGAUGCAACGCGAAGAACCUUACCAAGGCUUGACAUGUUCUCGAUCGCCGUAGAGAUACGGUUUCCCCUUUGGGGCGGGUUCACAGGUGGUGCAUGGUUGUCGUCAGCUCGUGUCGUGAGAUGUUGGGUUAAGUCCCGCAACGAGCGCAACCCUCGUUCCAUGUUGCCAGCACGUAAUGGUGGGGACUCAUGGGAGACUGCCGGGGUCAACUCGGAGGAAGGUGAGGACGACGUCAAAUCAUCAUGCCCCUUAUGUCUUGGGCUUCACGCAUGCUACAAUGGCCGGUACAAUGGGUUGCGAUACUGUGAGGUGGAGCUAAUCCCAAAAAGCCGGUCUCAGUUCGGAUUGGGGUCUGCAACUCGACCCCAUGAAGUCGGAGUCGCUAGUAAUCGCAGAUCAGCAACGCUGCGGUGAAUACGUUCCCGGGCUUUGUACACACCGCCCGUCAAGUCACGAAAGUUGGUAACUACC